GACGAACGCUGGCGGCGCGCUUAACACAUGCAAGUCGAACGGAAAGGCCUGCUUUCCCUUGUGGAUUGCGGGUACUCGAGUGGCGAACGGGUGAGUAACACGUGAGUGAUCUGCCCCCAACUUGGGUAUAAGCCUGGGAAACUGGGUCUAAUUCCCGAUAGGACUGCAGGGUGGUGCCUGUGGUGGAAAACGAUUUUCCGGUGGUUGGGGAUGAGCUCGCGGCCUAUCAGCUUGUUGGUGGGGUAAUGGCCUACCAAGGCGGCGACGGGUAGCCGGCCUGGGCGGGUGGCCGGCCUCGUUGGGCCUGAGCUGCGUGCCGGUGGCCGACGGGGGGCAGCAGUGCGGGAUGGUGCACAGUGGGCGCAAGCGUGAGGGAGCAACGCCGCGUGCGGGAUGGCGGCCUUCGGGUUGUGAACAGGUUUCGCCUGUGCCGAAGCGUGCGUGACGGUACUGUGUAAAGAAGCCCCGGCUAACUACGUG
rnacentral:rRNA from 1 species